GGGCGUGUGGCUCAGUUGGUAGAGCGCCCGCUUAGCAUAUUCAUUCCAAGCUUGCGGAAGGUCCCCGGUUCGAUUCCGGGCUCGUCCA